rnacentral:rRNA from 1 species
CGGGUGGAGCCUGCGGUUUAAUUGGAUUCAACGCCGGAAAUCUCACCGGGGCGACAGCAAUAUGAAGGUCAGGCUGAAGACCUUACCCGAUUUAGCUGAGAGGUGGUGCAUGGCCGUCGUCAGUUCGUACUGUGAAGCAUCCUGUUAAGUCAGGCAACGAGCGAGACCCACGUCCACAGUUGCCAGCAUACCCUCCGGGGUGAUGGGUACACUGUGGAGACCGCCGCUGCUAAAGCGGAGGAAGGAGUGGGCAACGGUAGGUCAGUAUGCCCCGAAUCUCCCGGGCUACACGCGGGCUACAAUGGUUGGUACAAUGGGCAUCUACCCCGAAAGGGGAAGGAAAUCUCUUAAAGCCAAUCGUAGUUCGGAUUGAGGGCUGCAACUCGCCCUCAUGAAGCUGGAAUCCGUAGUAAUCGCGUUUCAACAGAACGCGGUGAAUACGUCCCUGCUCCUU